AUUGAACGCUGGCGGCAGGCCUAACACAUGCAAGUCGAACGAGUGGCGGACGGGUGAGUAAUGUCUGGGAAACUGCCUGAUGGAGGGGGAUAACUACUGGAAACGGUAGCUAAUACCGCAUACCAUCAGAUGUGCCCAGAUGGGAUUAGCUAGUUGGUGGGGUAACGGCUCACCAAGGCGACGAUCCCUAGCUGGUCUGGGAGGAUGACCAGCCACACUGGAUCUGAUCCACGGUCCAGACUCCUAGGGGAGGCAGCGUUGGGGAAUAGUGCACAAUGGGCGCAGGCCUAACGCAGCCAUGCCGCGUGUAGUAAGAAGGCCUUCGGGUUGUAAAGUACUUUCAGCGGGGAGUCGUUACCCGCAGAAUAAGCACCGGCUAACUCCGUGCCAGCAGCCGCGGUAAUAC
rnacentral:rRNA from 1 species